GAUGAAGAACGUAGCGAAAUGCGAUAAGUAAUGUGAAUUGCAGAAUUCAGUGAAUCAUCGAAUCUUUGAACGCACAUUGCGCCCGCCAGUAUUCUGGCGGGCAUGCCUGCUCGAGCGUCAUUACAACCCUCAGGCCCCCGGGCCUGGCGUUGGGGAUCGGCGGAAGCCCCCUGUGGGCACACGCCGUCCCUCAAAUACAGUGGCGGUCCCGCCGCAGCUUCCAUUGCGUAGUAGCUAACACCUCGCAACUGGAGAGCGGCGCGGCCAUGCCGUAAAACACCCAACUUCUGAAUGUUGACCUCGAAUCAGGUAGGAAUACCCGCUGAACUUAAGCAUAUCAAUAAGCGGAGGA
rnacentral:misc_RNA from 1 species